AUUUGAUUUAACUCGGGAACACAGUGGCAUCCGCAGCUCCAAACCCACUUCCAGAUUCCUCCUUUUUCUCCUCCACCGGCGCCGGAGCCUCCACCUUCUUCUCCUCCACCGGCGGCGCCACCUCUUCAGCUUUCUUCUCCUCGGUCACCGUCGGUGGUGCAACGGCAGUGGUACCGGACUUCUCAUACUGGUGAAGAUAAUCAUCUGCUUGUUUCAAAUACGACCCUACCCUUGAUUCUCAUCAAACUUACCGUACUGCUUGUUUCAAAGAAGCUUUUACAAGUUUUGGCUUUGAUACUGCCUUUAAGAUUAUGAGUGGAUUUGUCAUUUAUAAUGCUCCAUCCUAUGAAUCCCCCCGAUACUCAUCCCCAGAAACCCCUUAUCUGCUUUUGUUUCAUUGGAGAGAGAACGAGAAAAGUGAGAGAGUGAGAAGGAGAGAGACUGAGAAGGAGAGCAGGAUAGAGAAGGGGGUAGGAGAUUUAAUGGUGUCACUGAUUUCUCCAUCAAAUCCGGUUUUUAGGGUUUUGCCAGACCUAAAUUAUGCUCCCACAUCCCAGGCAGCGCCGACGUCAAGAAAUAGUCCGAUGAUAUUGAUGAUGGAUUGUUUUGAAGGCUAAACAGCUCAAAAAGACGGUAGGUGUUGUGUCUGAAGGUGGUAGGGGCCUGAGCAUUUGGGAUGUUUUCCGCCUCACAAAUCCAGGUUGAACUGCCCAAGAUAUUCAAAUUAUGUGGCUCUCCCUCAGAUGUGUCUUUUCUCAAAUCUUGGUAUCACCAGUCAGAUGGUUAAAGCUACCCAAGAAUCCAUUCAAAAUACUAAAGCGUUUGAUAUAAGACCAUUUUGGGCAGGAGCAUCAGCAAAUGCAGUGACCGUGGAGUGUCGAUGAUGAUUUGGGUUACGGAUUGGGUGUUUAGCGGUGGUAUUAUGACAACGACCGAACAUUAGUUUUUCGGGUAAUGACUCCAAGAGAUCAAGUUCUGCAUAACUAGAUGCGAGCAUAGAUAAGAAUAUGAGGAUCGAGGUUACCCAAAAAAAAAA